rnacentral:rRNA from 1 species
AUUGAACGCUGGCGACAUGCCUUACACAUGCAAGUCGAACGGCAGCACGGGUGCUUGCACCUGGUGGCGAGUGGCGAACGGGUGAGUAAUACAUCGGAACAUGUCCUGUAGUGGGGGAUAGCCCGGCGAAAGCCGGAUUAAUACCGCAUACGAUCUACGGAUGAAAGCGGGGGACCUUCGGGCCUCGCGCUAUAGGGUUGGCCGAUGGCUGAUUAGCUAGUUGGUGGGGUAAAGGCCUACCAAGGCGACGAUCAGUAGCUGGUCUGAGAGGACGACCAGCCACACUGGGAAUGAGACACGGCCCAGACUCCUACGGGAGGCAGGAGUGGGGAAUUUUGGACAAUGGGCGAAAGCCUGAUCCAGCAAUGCCGCGUGUGUGAAGAAGGCCUUCGGGUUGUAAAGCACUUUUGUCCGGAAAGAAAUCCUUGGCCCUAAUACGGUCGGGGGAUGACGGUACCGGAAGAAUAAGCACCGGCUAACUACGUG